rnacentral:rRNA from 1 species
UACGUAGGUGGCAAGCGUUGUCCGGAUUUACUGGGCGUAAAGAGCGCGCAGGCGGUCGUUCAAGUCGCGUGUGAAAGCCCCCGGCUCAACUGGGGAGGGUCACGCGAUACUGAUCGACUCGAAGGCAGGAGAGGGUAGUGGAAUUCCCGGUGUAGUGGUGAAAUGCGUAGAUAUCGGGAGGAACACCAGUGGCGAAGGCGACUACCUGGCCUGUUCUUGACGCUGAGGCGCGAAAGCUAGGGAGCAAGCGGGGAUUAAGA